GACGAACCGUGCAAACGUUAUUCGGAAUCACUGGGCAUAAAGGGCGCGUAGGCGGCUCCAAAAGUCAGGGGUGAAAUCCGGCAGCUUAACUGUCGCAGUGCCUUUGAUACUGUGGAGCUAGAGGGAUGUAGGGGUCUGUGGAACUUCCGGUGGAGCGGUGAAAUGCGUUGAUAUCGGAAGGAAGCGCCGGUGGCGAAAGCGACGGACUGGACAUUUUCUGACGCUGAGGCGCGAAAGCCAGGGGAGCAAACGGG
rnacentral:rRNA from 1 species